rnacentral:rRNA from 1 species
AUUGAACGCUGGCGGCAGGCCUAACACAUGCAAGUCGAGCGAGCGGCGGACGGGUGAGUAAUGUAUGGGGACUGCCCGAUAGAGGGGGAUAACUACUGGAAACGGUGGCUAAUACCGCAUACUAUCGGAUAACCCAUAUGGGAUUAGCUAGUAGGUAAGGUAAAGGCUGACCUAGGCGACGAUUCCUAGCUGGUCUGAGAGGAUGAUCAGCCACACUGGGACUGAGACACGGCCCAGACUCCUACGGAGGCAGCAGUGGGGAAUAUUGGACAAUGGGCGAAAGCCUGAUGCAGCCAUCCCGCGUGUAUGAAGAAGGCCCUAGGGUUGUAAAGUACUUUCAGCCGGGAGGCGUUACCGACAGAAGAAGCACCGGCUAACUCCGUGCCAGCAGCCGCGGUAAUAC